GUAGAAAACACCUUCGAGCGCGUGCAGAGAAUAACCUCGCGAGCGAGGAAGUUCACGUCUCGCAAGCGAGCAAAUAUCUCGCUCGAGACGGACUUUUGCUGGUGGAUGUUUGAUUUACGCGCAUCAACCUGAUUUGCGCUCUCGAAUUCUUACAGUGAUUUGCGCUGAUAGACUGCAGUAUCUUAUGCGCCUUAUUGUGCGGAAAACACGGCACAUGAGCGCCGGAGAAAAUGGUACACAAAACAUACAUUGUCGGUUAAUACAUUUUUAAUCGGUUAAAUUCUUAAGGUCAUUUAAUCAUUCCUAGUUUAUGUUUUGAUCAGAGUUGGGAUGGGCUCUAACUAAGAGCCCAUCAUGUAUCACGUAUGACGCUCUAAGUAAGAGCCCAUCAUUUCUAGCCCUUUGACAAAUAUCCAUCCAAGACCAGUCCCACCACCUUCAGCCCCCCCACCCUGGGCAUUUCCACUGGUUAUGCUACUUUUCAGGUUGAAGCGCUUCAGUAAUUUGUUUCCUAUCUCAGUGACAGCAGCAUCAUUUUCAUCACACUGCAGUAAUCCACGUGUCUCAUGGUAGAAAACGUUGACAUGCAACACAACAUUGGCGUGAACAUCCCAUGUUUUCAUAGUUGACGUUGCCUUGACUUGGUGUGUGUGGUGCAUCAACACCAGAAUGACAGGUUUAUCAUCUGAGCACAACAAGAGAGAGACGUUAGCAAAAGAUCAUCCUUUACCAACACAAUAAGUUCACUACUAAACUUUGAUUAUUUGUCAAAAAGAACUUUCUUAUUCAAAAUUCUAUCCAAAUGAAAUCCUUCCCUCACCUUUAACAUCAGACAUGGCUGCCUCAACGUCUGACGCAACGCAUGAACUGAUGGGACAGAAGACAAAAGUGACCGAGUGGUUGUCUGCAUCGUCUUCACAACUCUGGAUCUGAUUCUGAACUUGUUUCUUUAUUUUCUUCAUCAGCGUCAGGUGGGCGUCAAACGUUUUACCGCCGACAACCAUCUUGUACGACGUGGCUGUAGAAAGAGAAAUGGCUGUGAGUGUGAAACAGAUUAAUACAUUUACAAGAACAGUAAAAUAUAAUCAUUCUUUAAAUAUGUUUGAUGCAUAGUUCAGAAAAACAAUGACAAAGAUGAAAGUUGAAUGAUACAUUCAGUGUCCCUGUAAAGACAUGCUGAACACAAGAUGUGCCACAAAAGCAUUUAUUU
ensembl:lncRNA